UACAGAGGUCUCGAGCGUUGUUCGGAUUCAUUGGGCGUAAAGGGUGCGUAGGCGGCGGGGUAAGUCUGAUGUGAAAUCCCGGGGCUCAACCCUGGAACUGCAUUGGAUACUGCCUUGCCAUGAGAGACUGGAGAGGAAACUGGAAUUUACGGUGUAGCAGUGAAAUGCGUAGAGAUCGUAAGGAAGACCAGUGGCGAAGGCGAGUUUCUGGACAGCUACUGACGCUGAGGUGCGAAAGCGUGGGGAGCAAACAGG
rnacentral:rRNA from 1 species